ensembl:ncRNA F35C8.10 ncRNA
ACGUAAACAUACACACACACAUAUAGUCAUGAUGAGGUCGAAGGUUGUGAGAAACAAUCUUUUUGUCGCAUCUUAUGAGAACUGGGAGGAAUGUAAAGGGUGAGAAGAUGAAAGGAAAAGGGAAAACUUGAUAAUGACGCAU